UCCAAAAUGCAUAAGUUCUCGCGAGACGCAGUAAGGCACCGGCUCGAACUGGGGCGGGCCACUGCCAGGAAAGCAACGCCCCUGAAUGCUUAUGCCGGUGGUUGGUAGAGGAAAUGGAAUUCCCCAGACUGUACCUCUUGACUUGCUACUGGUACCUGGAAGAGAUGUAACACCUGACCAUGGGACAUCAAGUGACUGUGUGAAUCAAACUGCCCAUCAUGAAUUGUUGUUAUUUGACUCAUCAAACUGUACAACUGGAUGAACACAGGAGCAGUGCACUACAUAUGGGACUGGAACCAUGAAUGAGCAGGUGACUCAGACUCCUAUAGUACCUGCCUCUACUCCUUCAGCACUUCUCCCUCAACCCACAUAAACUGUCAUCAUAAUGAGUUCCCUCUGACCAGUUAAUGGAAGAGAAAAAAGUAUGGAUGUUAUGGAUAUCCUAACAUAUUUCUGGCCAUUGGACCCCUAGAAACCUGUGGCAAGUCCUGGAAGUUUUUCAAGGUUCAUCUUGCACCUUCUAGCAUGCAUAUGUCGUACCAAAGCAUGUAGAAUGCUGCCUACUUCUGCUCUUCAGUUUCAUUUAAUAUAAUUUCAUUACUCUGAUAAAUCAGUGUGAUGUUCUAUGGAAUAACAAAAGACCAUCAAGGUCCCUUCAUACCAUAUAGAGAACAGGAGAGUUGAUGUAGCCUGAGACAAGACAGUAAGGACUUACUGUUAUCCCUCCUAUUUAAACGUAGUCUGUUUCUGAUUCUCCUUAGAAUGGGGGUGGGGGGACAUUUCCAGAUCAAUAUCAGAUCAGUAUCAUGUCAACAUGGGUAUUAAUUUCUUCCGAAGAAGAUACCACACCUAGAACAGCAACCAUAAUUGGCAUCCCUACCUAAUUAAAGUUUGCAGUCCACUGUCAUUCUUCAAAAAAAAAAAAA
rnacentral:lncRNA from 1 species